rnacentral:rRNA from 1 species
ACACAUGCAAGUCGAGCGGUAGCACAGAGAGCUUGCUCUCGGGUGACGAGCGGCGGACGGGUGAGUAAUGUCUGGGAAACUGCCUGAUGGAGGGGGAUAACUACUGGAAACGGUAGCUAAUACCGCAUAACGUCGCAAGACCAAAGUGGGGGACCUUCGGGCCUCAUGCCAUCAGAUGUGCCCAGAUGGGAUUAGCUAGUAGGUGGGGUAACGGCUCACCUAGGCGACGAUCCCUAGCUGGUCUGAGAGGAUGACCAGCCACACUGGAACUGAGACACGGUCCAGACUCCUACGGGAGGCAGCAGUGGGGAAUAUUGCACAAUGGGCGCAAGCCUGAUGCAGCCAUGCCGCGUGUGUGAAGAAGGCCUUCGGGUUGUAAAGCACUUUCAGCGGGGAGGAAGGCGUUAAGGUUAAUAACCUUGGCGAUUGACGUUACCCGCAGAAGAAGCACCGGCUAACUCCGUGCCAGCAGCCGCGGUAAUACGGAGGGUGCAAGCGUUAAUCGGAAUUACUGGGCGUAAAGCGCACGCAGGCGGUCUGUCAAGUCGGAUGUGAAAUCCCCGGGCUCAACCUGGGAACUGCAUUCGAAACUGGCAGGCUAGAGUCUUGUAGAGGGGGGUAGAAUUCCAGGUGUAGCGGUGAAAUGCGUAGAGAUCUGGAGGAAUACCGGUGGCGAAGGCGGCCCCCUGGACAAAGACUGACGCUCAGGUGCGAAAGCGUGGGGAGCAAACAGGAUUAGAUACCCUGGUAGUCCACGCCGUAAACGAUGUCGAUUUGGAGGUUGUGCCCUUGAGGCGUGGCUUCCGGAGCUAACGCGUUAAAUCGACCGCCUGGGGAGUACGGCCGCAAGGUUAAAACUCAAAUGAAUUGACGGGGGCCCGCACAAGCGGUGGAGCAUGUGGUUUAAUUCGAUGCAACGCGAAGAACCUUACCUGGUCUUGACAUCCACAGAACUUUCCAGAGAUGGAUUGGUGCCUUCGGGAACUGUGAGACAGGUGCUGCAUGGCUGUCGUCAGCUCGUGUUGUGAAAUGUUGGGUUAAGUCCCGCAACGAGCGCAACCCUUAUCCUUUGUUGCCAGCGGUUAGGCCGGGAACUCAAAGGAGACUGCCAGUGAUAAACUGGAGGAAGGUGGGGAUGACGUCAAGUCAUCAUGGCCCUUACGACCAGGGCUACACACGUGCUACAAUGGCAUAUACAAAGAGAAGCGACCUCGCGAGAGCAAGCGGACCUCAUAAAGUAUGUCGUAGUCCGGAUUGGAGUCUGCAACUCGACUCCAUGAAGUCGGAAUCGCUAGUAAUCGUAGAUCAGAAUGCUACGGUGAAUACGUUCCCGGGCCUUGUACACACCGCCCGUCACACCAUGGGAGUGGGUUGCAAAAGAAGUAGGUAGCUUAACCUUCGGGAGGGCGCUUACCACUUGGAUCAGAAGC